rnacentral:misc_RNA from 1 species
ACACCCUCAAGCUCACGCUUGGUGUUGGGCGUUUUUGUCCCCCUAACAAGGGACUCGCCUUAAAAGGAUUGGCAGCCGGCCUACUGGUUUCGCAGCGCAGCACAUUUUUGCGCUUGCAAUCAGCAAAAGAGGACGGCAAUCCAUCAAGACUCCUUCUCAC